rnacentral:lncRNA from 1 species
CUCGAAAUUAUUUAGCAAUUAGCUGCGAGUCGGUGAAAACCCUUAGGCAUUUGACACUGAGAUCUUUGGCGAUCUUCAAUCCGGCUAUCAGAGCUUCAUAGUCAGUUUGAUUGUUAGAAGCUUUAAAACCAAAUCGAAGAGCAUACUCAGUCGCCUUCCGAUCAAUGUUGGUCAAAAUGAGACUAGCACCACAGUCUUACAUGUUUGAGGCUCCAUCUACAUGUAGAAUUUAUGUAGACUCUGAAGUUUCUCCUCGAGGACGGUCCUCGAUUUGCCUAUCAUCAGUCAGAGUGCACUUGACAAUAAAGUUG